GAGGCCCUGAGCUUCUAGGAGCUGGGAAAAUCGCUCCAACUUGAUUUUUCAGGAACUCAAUGCCAACCUGAACAACCUCACCUCCGCGUUUGAGAAAGCAACAGCUGAGAAAAUCAAGUGUCAGCAGGAGGCGGAUGCCACCAACAGGGUGAUCUCAUUGGCUAACAGACUUGUGGGAGGACUGGCUUCAGAAAACGUGCGCUGGGCCGAGUCGGUGGAGAACUUCCGGAGCCAGGGCGUUACCCUGUGCGGGGAUGUGCUGCUCAUCUCUGCCUUUGUUUCCUACGUGGGCUACUUCACCAAGAAGUACCGGAACGAGCUGAUGGAGAAAUUCUGGAUCCCUUACGUCAAUAACUUAAAG
rnacentral:lncRNA from 1 species